rnacentral:rRNA from 1 species
AAAUGAAUUGACGGGGGCCCGCACAAGCAGCGGAGCAUGUGGUUUAAUUCGAAGCAACGCGAAGAACCUUACCAAGACUUGACAUGGCAGCCGAUGAUAUGGAAACAUAGCAGGCUCGCAAGAGAGGCUGUCACAGGUGGUGCAUGGUUGUCGUCAGCUCGUGUCGUGAGAUGUUGGGUUAAGUCCCGCAACGAGCGCAACCCUUAUUGUCAGUUACCAGCAUGUAAAGAUGGGGACUCUGGCAAGACUGCCGUGGAUAACACGGAGGAAGGUGGGGAUGAGGUCAAAUCAUCAUGCCCCUUACGUCUUGGGCUACACACGUGCUACAAUGGCCGCUACAGAGAGCUGCGAGACGGUAACGUGGAGCGAAUCUCAAAAAAGCGGUCUCAGUUCAGAUUGUGGGCUGCAACCCGCCCACAUGAAGAUGGAGUUGCUAGUAAUCGCGAAUCAGCAUGUCGCGGUGAAUGCGUUCCCGGGCCUUGUACACACCGCCCGU